rfam:Polysphondylium pallidum PN500 unplaced genomic scaffold PPL_scaffold3, whole genome shotgun sequence.
GACACCUUAGCCAAGUGGUUACGGCGAUUGACUAGAAAUCAAUUCCCUUCGGGGGCGCAGGUUCGAAUCCUGCAGGUGUCG